rnacentral:rRNA from 1 species
GACGAACGCUGGCGGCGUGCCUAAUACAUGCAAGUAGAACGCACAGUUUAUACCGUAGCUUGCUACACCAUAGACUGUGAGUUGCGAACGGGUGAGUAACGCGUAGGUAACCUGCCUGGUAGCGGGGGAUAACUAUUGGAAACGAUAGCUAAUACCGCAUAAUAUUAAUUAUUGCAUGAUAAUUAAUUGAAAGGUGCAAUUGCACCACUACCAGAUGGACCUGCGUUGUAUUAGCUAGUAGGGGAGGUAACGGCUCACCUAGGCGACGAUACAUAGCCGACCUGAGAGGGUGAGCGGCCACACUGGGACUGAGACACGGCCCAGACUCCUACGGGAGGCAGCAGUAGGGAAUCUUCGGCAAUGGACGAAAGUCUGACCGAGCAACGCCGCGUGAGUGAAGAAGGUUGUCGGAUCGUAAAGCUCUGUUGUAAGAGAAGAACGGGUGUGAGAGUGGAAAGUUCACACUGUGACGGUAGCUUACCAGAAAGGGACGGCUAACUACGUG